rnacentral:rRNA from 1 species
GUCCACGCCCUAAACGAUGGAUACUAGACGUAAGAGGUAUCGACCCCUCUUGUGUCGCAGCUAACGCACUAAGUAUCCCGCCUGGGGAGUACGGCCGCAAGGUUGAAACUCAAAUGAAUUGACGGGGACCCGCACAAGCGGUGGAGCAUGUGGAUUAAUUCGAUACUAACCGAAGAACCUUACCCAGGUUUGACAUCGAUUGUAAGCCUCAGAGAUGGGGCCCUCCCCCACAAGGGGACAUGAAGACACUUGUUGCAUGGCUGUCGU